GCAGCCUGAUAUUGAAUUUGGUACAGCUUGUACAGGAUAGGUAGGAGCUUUGAAGCGGAGCGCCAGCUUCGUGAGGCAUGGUGGGAUACUACCCUGGCUGUAUGAAAUUCUAACCCGCGCCCCUGAUCGGGGCGGGAGACAGUGUCAGGCGGGCAGUUUGACUGGGGCGGUCGCCUCCUAAAAAGUAACGGAGGCGCCCAAAGGUUCCCUCAGAAUGGUUGGAAAUCAUUCGCAGAGUGUAAAGGCACAAGGGAGCUUGACUGCGAGACCUACAAGUCGAGCAGGGACGAAAGUCGGGCUUAGUGAUCCGGUGGUUCCGCAUGGAAGGGCCAUCGCUCAACGGAUAAAAGCUACCCCGGGGAUAACAGGCUUAUCUCCCCCAAGAGUCCACAUCGACGGGGAGGUUUGGCACCUCGAUGUCGGCUCAUCGCAUCCUGGGGCUGUAGUCGGUCCCAAGGGUUGGGCUGUUCGCCCAUUAAAGCGGUACGCGAGCUGGGUUCAGAACGUCGUGAGACAGUUCGGUCCCUAUCCGUCGUGGGCGCAGGAAAUUUGAGAGGAGCUGUCCUUAGUACGAGAGGACCGGGAUGGACGCACCGCUGGUGUACCAGUUGUCUUGCCAAAGGCAUCGCUGGGUAGCUAUGUGCGGAAGGGAUAAGUGCUGAAAGCAUCUAAGCAUGAAGCCCCCCUCGAGAUGAGAUUUCCCAUAGCGUCAAGCUAGUAAGAUCCCUGAAAGAUGAUCAGGUUGAUAGGUCUGAGGUGGAAGCGUGGUGACACGUGGAGCUGACAGAUACUAAUAGAUCGAGGACUUAACCAC
rnacentral:rRNA from 1 species